CUGUAGUAGUCCUUCUCUUCUGAACUAGGUAUGUCCACUACAUGAUGUUAUGAUGUGGAAUACCAAUAACCGAAAAUCACAAAACCAUGACAUCUGAAAAGCUUUAGGAGAAAAUAGCAUCGUCUGAUGGUAUUGCGUGAGGAACUGGUGUAUUAUCGAAGAGAAGUCAUUCCAUAAUGUGAUUUUUUAAAAACUAUUUUGUUGGCUACAGUUGCUUAGAUGAAUGAAACAAACCUCAAUGAAACAAACUGACCAUAGUCAUAAAUGGAAAUUCAGUAAUAAAUGUCCCUGUGGAACAAAGACUUCCCACAAAAGCAUUUUAUUGGUUAAUUCACAAGGUAAAAGGUUACGUUUUUUUUCAAAUAUAGUUGUUAUUUGUAAAAGCUAUGGUUUGGGACAUAGAAGUUGUUCUUUUGGUGAAAAGUGUGUAUAAUCUGUCAUACACUUUCAUUGUGUUUUAAGCCCCAGUAUCAAAAUUCAGAACCUGGCAAUUCCUACAAGAAUGAGAAACUGGUGAUAGAAAUGAAAUGGUUUUUUUGAGGCAGCUUUGCAGCCAUGUGCUUAUUUUACAGAGAAAGUAUGCAAUUUUGCUUCGACAAACACAGCCAAAAGCCAUCAGAGCUUUUCUUUCUUUUUAUUCCCCUUUUUUCCCCUUUUUCUUUUUUUUCUUCUUUUUCCAGAAAUACUCCAAGUGAUUAUACCUGCAAGUAGCAUUCAAAAAAAGCUUCAUCCUCCCACUGUCAAUACACAACAUUCCUCUUUGCUCUCAUACUCCGUUUACUUGCAUUUUCCAAGAUCAUCUUUCUCUAUGGGUCUACAACUAGGAAAAAAAAAAAAAAACCACCCUCUGUUCAUCCAUUAGAUUCUGUUCUACACAGUCCCUGAGCAUUCAGUUCUGCACAGGCACCAACAUCUUGGGGCUGUCACUUCUAUUGCGUGCAAAUGUUUUAAACAUCUGGUUGCCCUUGGUUUUGAGCCAUAAAGACUUAAUGUAUGUGCCAGCUUCCAUGAAGCCUGUGAUUAUUUCUUGAUUCUAGAUGAUACCCAUGCCUUCCCUAUACCUGUUAGAGUUUGCAUCAUAUCCAUGCACACGCACAUUUUUUAGAAAGGAUGAAGUGGCUUUUUGUCACUCCUUAAUCCUUUGUCAAAGGGUAGAAAAUAACAGUGUUUUUCUGUGUGAGCUGGGUGGACAUCAGAGACUUUGCUCUUUCUUUGGGUCCCACAGCCCUGCUUUGAAAUAUUUUUAGAGAUGAAAAGGGUGUAGUUGUAGCUUUAAAACCAUGAACUUUGCUCAUUACUGCAAUAAAUGGUUCUCCUUUUUAUUCUGGGUUCCAGGAUGAGAUAAUACACAGAAGUAAAAAAAAAAAAUAUGGGUGUCUUCUAGUUUAUUAUCUCCUGACUUUUUUUCCUCCCUUUAAUUUAUUUUUGGAGUCUGGCAAGAAAAGCACGCCAAAAAGGCCCAGUGUAUUGAUGUGUGAAAUUGAAGGAGUCGAUGAUUCUUAUGAUCCAGACACCAUGCCCUUUGACAGGGUUAACAUAAAAAGAAACAUACUGGAAAACACACACUUAAAUAUGAAAAAUUCCUUAAAUUCAGGGUGUGUUCAUACAAAGUGAAAUUUUUACAGUGUGGAAAGCAUUAAACCUGAUCCAGAAAAAACGUGAGGUGCCCCAGCCAUUGAGAUGUGAAUCUCUUUAAUCCACACAAGCAUUAGAAAAAUCUGAAACAUGUGAAAGUUCAAAAGCUGCAAAGCCAUUACAUGACUCCUUAUUCAUUUCUCAAAUAUUGUAACUUUUUAUUGAACUGUGAAAAGGCUUCUUCUUGUAUUUUUUUUCCCUUUUCAUAAGCAAUAUAUCAGUCGCUCACUAAUGCGUUAUUCCGCACUGUGAAGCUGAAAGUGAGUUUCGUUUGGUUAUGUCUACCUGGCUAUAAAUCUUUGAUUUAUUUCAGAGCGUUUAUGUAGCAUUUCAGAAGUUGGUAACUUGCACCUUUUCAGCAUUUCCUGUUGGGGAAGGGGAAAAGGCAAGAAUUAGUAGAAUGUCAAUGGAGGUUUUUUUUAAGAUCUCAGUGUAUUUCACAGUCAGUUCAGAGGCCAUUUUAAUGACCAGCUUGAACUUUGCAUGACAGCUUUUUAACUGUACACAUGCAAAUAAAUAAAUAAACGACCCAAAAUAUCUUCUUGCAGCUUAACUUUACAGUUCCUACCUACACUCAGAGGACCCUGAAAUUCAGUGAAAAUUUGCUCCAGUGCAAAUGCUGAAGCAUCCCUGUUCUUCACUCAUCAUUCUGUGGAGUGCUAGCCUGAAAACUUAUGUUAUGCUGAAGAUUAACAAGGGAUUAAGAGUGAGCAGCGGAUUUUCCAGGAAAUGGUGUGGCCUGCUGCUACUUUCUGCUUGCCUGACUGCCUGCUAAAGUCCAUCCUUCCUGGCACUGCUCACACCAGCUCCAGCUGCUCCAAGUUGCUUUGCAAUCACAUCAUCUACCUCCUUGAAUUCAGAAGAUUGGUCACCUUCUGUAGUACUGCUGUGUGGAUGAAUCCUAAUCUUGAAAUUAGGUUAUUAAAGAUGAGGCAACCCCUAGUAUCUGGGAGUAGUAUAUACUGGAGUCCUAUGAGACACAUAGAUAUAUAGCCAGACAGAACCUUUCUCCAGUGGAUAUCUUGUCCUUAGAGCUAUUACCUUGGAAACACUCCUUAGUAUUUUAAAUCACACUCCCCACUUCUUAGGUAUAUUCUAUUUGUCAGACAUAGCCUAGCUACAGAAUGGCCAAUCUCUGAGCACUCAGCUAUGCUGUUGACCUCUCAAUCUGUGUAGAAAUGGAUUUUCAUCUUUUGUUCAAGCUUGUAUUUUGCUAAAUGAUUAAAUAAAAACAAAACACAACAAAACAAAACAUUGUAAAUACCGACCUGUUAGGACUGAUCUGUCUAUCGAUUGAUGGAGUGUUCAAAUCCACCACAGGAACAGCUAGUCCCAGUACUUGAUGCUUCACUCUGAAGCAGACAUGUACUUUCAUAACCACAAAUAUCUGGUUUUAUUCCCAGAAACUCUUAUUUCUUGGUCAACCCCAUGUUUCUUAAAUACUGUCACGGCAUUGAGGGGAAAGCUAUGUGCAUGUGAGAACUUGUAAGCUUGGACACAUUAGCAAACAAGAAGUCAGUUUAGUAUUGUGCAUUAAUGAAAGAGAAUAAAAAUAAAAGUCAGCUGAAAGCAAGUCCCACCCACAUACCACUUCAACAAAGUGUGUGAAGCAGAGGACAGCUGUGACCAUGAUGUCAUACACUGAGGCAUUAUGGCUUCACACUGCAUUCUGCCUCUGAGCAGUCAUUUGAUAACACUGCAAUCCAGGAAUGCAGCUGUUCCUUUCUGCAUGUUUAAUGAUCCACACAUCUUAAAGAGCAUUUUUUUUUCAUAUUUUUUAUUAACUUCUUUUGUGUUAUGUUUUGUAUCAGUGAAGACAGAACAUUUUAUACGGAGUCAUCAGGGAAAUUAUGUUUUCUUUUUUCCUUUUUUUUGGUUGUUCAAGACUUACGUUCACAGUAAAGAGGCUUCAAGGUUUGUGCUGCUGUGAGAUGAACUGCAUUUUGCAUCACUGUCUUCACCUUCACAUCUGGGGUUGUUGCCUUCACCUUCCUUCUGAUACUAGCCCUGAGGCACAUUAUCUCAUAUCCACACACGUUCUGUCGUGUCUCAUUCUUUGAAUGAAUAAAAAACAUUUUCAGAAAAUGGAAAAUGGAGGGCUGGAUUGAAUUCUGUAGAUAUGCAUGUAGGAGACACUCUGCAUGCAUAUUCCCACUUUCCUGCCUCCAGGUGGUGGUUGUAGGAAGCAAAUGCCUUGACGUUUCUGUCUUUCUUUUGUGGAAACCUUAUGAGGCUGUGUUCAAACACAGAAUCCCACAGAAUCACUGAAUCACAGGGGUUGGAAGGGGCCUCAAGAGAUCAGCAAUUCCAACCCCCCUGCCAAAGCAGAUUCCCUACAAUAGGUUGCACAGGUAGCCGUCCAGACGAGUCUUGAAUGUCUCUUUAGAAGGAAACUCCACAGCCUCUCUGGGCAGCCUGUUCCAGUGCUCCGUCACCCUUGCUGUAAAGUUCUUCCGUAUGUUAGAAUAGAACUUCCUAUGCUCAAGUUCAAGUAUGUUUAUGCAUUACCUCUUGUUUGCAACACCACAUUCAGCUCCAACUCUAAGGGAAGGACGACAAGUUCACAGAAUCACACAAUUGUAGGCAUUGGAAGGGACCUCUAGAGAUCAUCGAGUCCAACCCCCCUGCAAA